UCCGCCUUGGUGUAAUCGGCAGCACACGGGUUUUUGGUGCCCAUGGUCCAGGUUCGAGUCCUGGGGGCGGAG
rfam:Paraoerskovia marina strain DSM 22126 genome assembly, chromosome: I